AUUGUUUUCAGACUUUGCAUAUUUAAUGAGAUGGAUCGUUGUAUCUAUCAGUUUGGCAGCUCUCAUCAUUUCUGUUGUUAGACUGGAAAUCUGGACAAAAACUGAAGAAAACAAAACAAAGAUUCCUGGGAUUGUGGAGAGUGAUGGUGAUGAAGAUGAAGAAAUGGUGAUCUAUGAGGAAAUUGGAGAUUUUUGUUCUUCUGUGCUGCUGAACUAAUGAACAACUUCAACUCCCCAGAAAAUGCUUAAAGUCUCAUCCAUGUGGCCACAACAGUCUUUUUAUAUUUACUGAAAAUACAGAGUUAUUCAAAACUGAACAUUUAUUCAUUUCAAAGUGUGAAUUAUUAGCAGUAACAUCAUGUUUAUGAUGUUAUUUCUGCUUCUGCUAAGGAUUCUAAACAAUUUAGAAAGAUUUUAUACAGAUACAUUUAUUUUCUUAUUUAUCCAAAUAAUCCAUUUCUGUGUCCUCUUUUAGUUUGUGAGCAGUUUUGUUUUUUUUAUUGUAGUGCAAUGUGGGAACUUUGUAGUUAAUUUUUUAUCAUUGCUAUGCAGAUGAUGUUUGCUUCUUAUUUAAGUUUUUCCAACCUACAGAUGCUGCAGGAUAAAUUAAACUCUUGGUCCUGUUCUCUA